GCAUAUCAAUAAGCGGAGGAAAAGAAANUNACAAUGAUUCCCCCAGUAACGGCGAGUGAACAGGGAAAAGCUCAAAGUUGGAACCUCCUGGCCCUAGGCUAGGCGGAUUGUAAACUAAAGCUUUCGAGUAGUUUGGCUGGCCCGGUAAUCAAGUUCUCUGGAAAGAGGCGACAAAGAGGGUGAAAUCCCCGUUUUUGGCCGGAGCAUUAGUCUUGCGUUUGCUUGAAGGUGAAGAGUCAGGUUGUUUGGUAUUGCAGCCUAAAGUGGGAGGUAAAUCUCUCCUAAAGCUAAAUAUUGACGAAAGACCGAUAGCGAACAAGUACCGUGAGGGAAAGAUGAAAAGCACCUUGAAAAGGGGGUCAAAAAGUACGUGAAAUUGCUGAAAGGGAACCGUAUGAAAUCAGUCUGGCCGCUUGAUAAUCAGCCUAAACUUUGGUUUGGGUGCACUUGUCAUUUGGUACAGCCUACGACAAUUUGAUUUGGGGGAAAAAAUCAAGGAGAAUGUGGCCUAGGCUUCGGCAGAGGUGUUAUAGCUCUUUGAAAAAUACUCUGGAUUGGAUUGAGGACUGCAGCAAGCCUUUGGGAUGAACUGUGGGCGCUUGGCGUUUGUUGGGGGGAAAUUUCUAUUCAGGUAGUGUUCCUUCAAUGAGUGUCAACUCGCCUACUUUUUCUUUUUCUUGCUUAGGUCGUAGGCAUAAUGAUUUUAUACGACCCGUCUUGAAACACGGACC
rnacentral:rRNA from 1 species